UACGGAGGGGGCUAGCGUUGUCCGAAGUUACUGGGCGUAAAGCGCGCGUAGGCGGGUUGGUAAGUCCGCUGUGAAAGCCCGGAGCUUAACUCCGGAGGGUCGGUGGAUACUGCCAGUCUUGAAGGUGCUAGGGGGACCUGGAACUUCCGGUGGAGCGGUGAAAUGCGUUGAGAUCGGAAGGAACGCCCGUGGCGAAAGCGAGGUCCUGGACGCCAUCUGACGCUGAGACGCGAAAGCCAGGGGAGCGAACGGG
rnacentral:rRNA from 1 species